CCUACGGGAGGCUGCAGUGAGGAAUAUUGGUCAAUGGGCGCAAGCCUGAACCAGCCACGUAGCGUGAAGGAUGACUACCCUACGGGUUGUAAACUUCUUUUAUAAAGGAGUAAAGUGAGGCACGUGUGCCAUUUUGUAUGUACUUUAUGAAUAAGGAUCGUCUAACUCCGUGCCAGCAGCCGCGGUAAUACGGAGGAUCCGAGCGUUAUCCGGAUUUAUUGGGUUUAAAGGGAGCGUAGGUGGAUUGGUAAGUCAGUUGUGAAAGUUUACGGCUUAACCGUAAAAUUGCAGUUGAAACUGGCAGUCUUGAGUACAGUAGAGGUGGGCGGAAUUCGUGGUGUAGCGGUGAAAUGCGUAGAUAUCACGAAGAACUCCGAUGGCGAAGGCAGUUCACUGGACUGCAACUGACACUGAGGCUCGAAAGUGUGGGGAGCAAACAGGAUUAGAUACCCUUGUAGUC
rnacentral:rRNA from 1 species